rnacentral:rRNA from 1 species
UCGAGCGAUCAGAAGGUGCUUGCACCUUUUGGUUAGCGGCGGACGGGUGAGUAACACGUGGGCAACCUGCCUGUAAGACUGGGAUAACUUCGGGAAACCGGAGCUAAUACCGGAUAAUCCUUUUCCUCUCAUGAGGAAAAGCUGAAAGUCGGUUUCGGCUGACACUUACAGAUGGGCCCGCGGCGCAUUAGCUAGUUGGUGAGGUAACGGCUCACCAAGGCGACGAUGCGUAGCCGACCUGAGAGGGUGAUCGGCCACACUGGGACUGAGACACGGCCCAGACUCCUACGGGAGGCAGCAGUAGGGAAUCUUCCGCAAUGGACGAAAGUCUGACGGAGCAACGCCGCGUGAGCGAUGAAGGCCUUCGGGUCGUAAAGCUCCGUUGUUAGGGAAGAACAAGUAUCGGAGUAACUGCCGGUACCUUGACGGUACCUAACCAGAAAGCCACGGCUAACUACGUGCCAGCAGCCGCGGUAAUACGUAGGUGGCAAGCGUUG